GCCGCCUUAGCUCAGUCGGUAGAGCACUGCCAUGGUAAGGCAGUUGUCCGGGGUUCGAUUCCCCGAGGCGGCU
rnacentral:tRNA from 1 species